rnacentral:rRNA from 1 species
UACGGAGGAUCCAAGCGUUAUCCGGAAUUACUGGGCGUAAAGAGUUGCGUAGGUGGCAAAGUGUGUCGGUAGUGAAAGCGUGGGGCUCAACCCCAUAUACAUUAUCGAAACUGCUUGGCUAGAGGACGAGAGAGGUACCUGGAAUUCCCAGUGUAGGAGUGAAAUCCGUAGAUAUUGGGAGGAACACCGAUGGCGUAGGCAGGGUACUGGCUCGUUCCUGACACUAAGGCACGAAAGCGUGGGUAGCAAACGGG